rnacentral:rRNA from 1 species
GACGAACGCUGGCGGCGUGCCUAAUACAUGCAAGUCGAACGCAGUGGGGACGGGUGAGUAACAAGUGGGUAACCUACCAUCAGAGGGGAUAAAACUUGGAAACAGGUGCUAAACCGAUACUGAUGGAUGGACCCGCGGUGCAUGAGCUAGUUGGUGGGGUAACGGGUCACCAAGGCCACUAUGCAUAGCCGCCCGGUGAGGUGGACGGGCAACACUUGGACUGUGACACGGCCCAGACUCCUCCGGGAGGCAGCAGUAGGGAAUCUUCGGCAAUGGACGAAAGUCGUACCGAGCAACGCCGCGUGAGUGAAGAAGGUUUUCGGAUCGUAAAACUCUGUUGUUAGAGAAGCGGUAUCUAACCAGAAAGCCACGGCUAACUACGUGCCAGCAGCCGCGGUAAUAC